ACGGCUCUUAGAGGGGGACUCGAGUUAGUUACCUAUCUCAAUAAAGUAUAUGAUUGGUUUGAGGAACGUCCUGAGAUUCAGGCAAUUGCAGAUGAUAUAACUAGUAAAUAUGUUCCUCCCCAUGUCAACAUAUUUUAUUGUUUAGGGGGAAUUACACUGACUUGUUUUCUAGUAUAAGGCGCUACCGGUUUUGCUACUUUGUUGAUCAUAUCUACUAUAUGA
rnacentral:rRNA from 1 species